GGCCCCAAGUCUACUAUUGCAAUUGUGUUUCAGUUGUCUAUCAAUGACAUCGUAAUUGCUACUUUUAGCAAUUUUGGUAGUCUACUAAUUCAAUGGCGUCACAAUUGUCUUCCGAUGGCGUGCCACUGACACUUCAAUGACACAAUUGUAAAUAGUUGGUAGUCCCGUACUUAAUGGCAAGUCAAUGAUCGAAUUUAAGCGUAGUCUGCUAAUAGUUUGACAGUUCCAGUGACCAUUGGAUUGCCAUUGAACUAUCAUUGAUGCGCCACUGUGCUGUCAUUGCUUUUAUGCCAGUGUUUGUCAGUGUUUGUUUGGUUUUACAAGGGUUUUACAUCAUGUUUAGCAAUAGUUUGGGUAUUUAGUUGUUAUCUUUCCACGUUGUAAGGUGAACACCUAGGCAUAAUGUCUAGAAUAAGAUGGAAUAUUUUGGAAUUGGCCAACGCGGCUGAUAGGUACUCAACAACGCUAUCGUUCGGAGCCUUAGCAUUUUACAGAGGCACUCAAUGCCAAAUUUAACAAAUAUGUUAAAUGGCCCAUCCAGCAUGACCGGAAUGCCAUGAAAGCUAAAUGUUUACUCCGAGCACAUGCUUUGCAUUACAGUCCAAUCACCACAGGCAAGAUUGUGAAUGCAUGUUAUAUUUUGCACAGUAUUGCAAACAAGACCAACGCACGUGCCUCCACUCAUGCCUGUGGAAGCUCUUCAUCUGCAACAGGAUGAACACAAUUCAAGGGCCGAGAGUUGGAAAGUGCUAUUGAAGGACAGCAUUCACAAAGCCAUCGAGUUAACCAAGGUCUGCUUGAAGGUAGAGUGCUGCAGCAGGCUCUCAUCAACAGGCUGUGGAGAAAUGCAUGAAAUUAAUAAUAAAUAAUUAAAAUAAAUGAUUUUGAAUUUUGACUAGACUUUGAUUAGAUUUUUAAAGAAAAAAUAAUAUUUCUUUCCUAUAAUCCGCAUAACUGUUUAGCGAUUGUAGCGAAACAUAGGAAUAUUAAUUUUUCUUUAAAUAUCAUGGAAUUCCACAAUGUAAUGUCUGUUUCUAUUCAAUAUUUGAUUAGAUUAAUAUUGGAAACUCCAAGCAUAGUAAUUGAUUAUAAUUUGCUGAUCUGACACCAUUACCAGAGUAUUUUCCAUUUAAUUUCUUUGAACAGACACUAAAUUGUACCUUGAAUGUAGUCAUCAGAUUCUGAUCCUGAUAGCUGUUUUGUGGGACAUUUCUGAAAACAAUAAACUACUGUUUAUUCAAUACUAGAGGAUGCCCGCGGCUUCGCCCGCGUGGAUUUCGGUUUUUUAAAAUCCCGCAGGAA